AGGACAUAGUGAUCCGGUGGUUCUGUAUGGAAGGGCCAUCGCUCAACGGAUAAAAGGUACUCUGGGGAUAACAGGCUGAUACCGCCCAAGAGUUCAUAUCGACGGCGGUGUUUGGCACCUCGAUGUCGGCUCAUCUCAUCCUGGGGCUGUAGCCGGUCCCAAGGGUAUGGCUGUUCGCCAUUUAAAGAGGUACGUGAGCUGGGUUUAAAACGUCGUGAGACAGUUUGGUCCCUAUCUUCCGUGGGCGCUGCAGAUUUGAGGAAGCCUGCUCCUAGUACGAGAGGACCGGAGUGGACACACCUCUGGUGUAUCGGUUGUCACGCCAGUGGCAUUGCCGAGUAGCUAAGUGUGGAAGAGAUAACCGCUGAAAGCAUCUAAGCGGGAAACUCGUUUCAAGAUGAGAUCUGCCGGGGCCUUGAGCCCCCUAAAGAGUCGUUCAAGACCAGGACGUUGAUAGGUCGGGUGUGGAAGCGCAGUAAUGCGUUAAGCUAACCGAUACUAAUUGCUCGUGCGGCUUGACCCUAUAACUUUG
rnacentral:rRNA from 1 species